UACGAAGGGUGCAAGCGUUAAUCGGAAUUACUGGGCGUAAAGCGCGCGUAGGUGGUUCAGUAAGUUGGAUGUGAAAUCCCCGGGCUCAACCUGGGAACUGCAUCCAAAACUGCUGAGCUAGAGUACGGUAGAGGGUGGUGGAAUUUCCUGUGUAGCGGUGAAAUGCGUAGAUAUAGGAAGGAACACCAGUGGCGAAGGCGACCACCUGGACCGAUACUGACACUGAGGUGCGAAAGCGUGGGGAGCAAACAGG
rnacentral:rRNA from 1 species